rnacentral:rRNA from 1 species
GAUGAACGCUGGCGGCGUGCUUAACACGUGCAAGUCGAGCGAGAAAAGUUCUUCGGAGCUUUUCUAGCGGCGGACGGGUGAGUAACACGUGGGCAACCUGCCUCAUAUAGGGGAAUAGCCUUCCGAAGGGAAGAUUAAUACCGCAUAACAUUGUUGAAAGGCAUCUUUUAACAAUCAAAGGAGCAAUCCGCUAUGAGAUGGGCCCGCGGCGCAUUAGCUAGUUGGUGAGGUAACGGCUCACCAAGGCGACGAUGCGUAGCCGACCUGAGAGGGUGAUCGGCCACAUUGGAACUGAGACACGGUCCAGACUCCUACGGGAGGCAGCAGUGGGGAAUAUUGCACAAUGGGGGAAACCCUGAUGCAGCAACGCCGCGUGAGGGAUGAAGGUCUUCGGAUUGUAAAGCUCUGUCUUUAGGGACGAUAAUGACGGUACCUAAGGAGGAAGCCACGGCUAACUACGUGCCAGCCGCCGCAGUAACAC